rnacentral:rRNA from 1 species
AUGAACGCUGGCGGCGUGCCUAAUACAUGCAAGUCGAGCGAACAGACGAGGAGCUUGCUCCUCUGACGUUAGCGGCGGACGGGUGAGUAACACGUGGAUAACCUGCCUAUAAGACUGGGAUAACUUCGGGAAACCGGAGCUAAUACCGGAUAAUAUAUUGAACCGCAUGGUUCAAUAGUGAAAGACGGUUUUGCUGUCACUUAUAGAUGGAUCCGCGCCGCAUUAGCUAGUUGGUAAGGUAACGGCUUACCAAGGCGACGAUGCGUAGCCGACCUGAGAGGGUGAUCGGCCACACUGGAACUGAGACACGGUCCAGACUCCUACGGGAGGCAGCAGUAGGGAAUCUUCCGCAAUGGGCGAAAGCCUGACGGAGCAACGCCGCGUGAGUGAUGAAGGUCUUCGGAUCGUAAAACUCUGUUAUUAGGGAAGAACAAAUGUGUAAGUAACUAUGCACGUCUUGACGGUACCUAAUCAGAAAGCCACGGCUAACUACGUG